rnacentral:lncRNA from 1 species
GCGGGAGACUCCGCCCAGCGUCUUCCUUGCUUUAGGAAAAGUCCCAGGGAGAAGCCCCAUUGCGUCUGCGCAGUGAGCGCAACCUUCCCGGAGCUGGUCGCUGCGCCAGGAUGUUCCUGGUCUGGCCAGCCAGGUCUGAGCCACACGACCUCAGCCAGCAGCUGGGGUGUAGUCAGCCUGCUGGAGGAGAGAGUGGGAUCCCCACGCGAACCGAGAGUCUGGUACCAGAGGAACGAGGUCAGGCCGGAAAGGAGAACGACGCUGAGCCACGCCUCCGCCGCUCAGGGCUCCGCAGUACGAACACAUGGCCCUGGGUGCGCAUGCGUGGGUGCACCCGUGGGACGCACUUCCGGAAGUGGAGCUGGUGUCAAAGGACAGAUCUUUCCGUGUUCCUAGGAGUUCGUCACCUUCCUUCGGUAGAAGUCUUAAGAGGAAAAUAUGCUGCUCCUGCUCCUGCUCCUGCUGCAGCUCGCGGCUCUUGGCGUGUUCCUGAGGAGGUGCCAACCCAGUGGUGUCCCUACUUCUCCCUAGUGCUUCUGCACGCUUAGGCUCAUCCUGCAGUUAACACUUCAUAGCUGACUUGCACUGCAGGUGUACGUGGCAUCAGACCACAUCUGCCCCAGGUGAGAAAAUGCUAGGUUCUUUGUGGCUCUCAGCAUCUGUCUCUCCGCAGGCUCUGGGUGUUUCAUUUGCUCUGCGAUUUCCGUUCU